GAUGAACGCUGGCGGCGUGCCUAAUACAUGCAAGUCGAACGCUGGAAAUCUAGCUUGCUGGUUUGAAGGAGUGGCGAACGGGUGAGUAAUACAUAAGCAACCUACCCACGAAUACUGGGAUAAUCUCUGGAAACGGGGACUAAUACCGGAUAGUUAAUCGGAAGGCAUCUUCUGAUGAUUAAAGGUUAACAACACUGGUUGAUGGGCUUAGGGCGCAUUAGUUAGUUGGUGAGGUAACGGCCCACCGAGACGAUGAUGCGUGGCCGGCCUGAGAGGGUGAAACGCCAGAAUUGAGAUGAGACACAGCCCAGAAUCCGACGGGGGGCAGCAGUAGGGAGUUUUCGGCGAUGGGGGAAGCCCUGACCGAGCAACGCCGCGUGAGUGAGGACGGCCUUCGGGUUGUAAAGCUCUGUUGUAAGAAAAGAACGGUAGAUAGAGAAUGUCUAAAUGACGGUACCUAAACAGAAAGCCACGGCUAACUACGUG
rnacentral:rRNA from 1 species